ACUCAAAGGAAUAGACGGGGGCCCGCACAAGCGGUGGAGCAUGUGGUUUAAUUCGAUGCAACGCGAAUAACCUUACCUACCCUUGAAUCCCUGGAAUUUGGCAGAGAUGCCGAAGUGCCUUCGGGAACCAGGAGACAGGUGCUGCAUGGCUGUCGUCAGCUCGUGUCGUGAGAUGUUGGGUUAAGUCCCGUAACGAGCGCAACCCUUAUUCUUAGUUGCUAGCAGGUAAAGCUGAGGACUCUAGGAAGACUGCCGGUGAUAAACCGGAGGAAGGUAGGGACGACGUCAAGUCAUCAUGGCCCAUACGGGUAGGGCUACACACGUGCUACAAUGGCCGGUACAAAAGGUUGCGAACCCGCGAGGGGGAGCUAAUCCUAUAAAGCCGGUCCUAGUCCGGAUUGGAGUCUGCAACUCGACUCCAUGAAGCUGGAAUCGCUAGUAAUCGUGGAUCAGCACGCCACGGUGAAUACGUUCCCGGGCCUUGUACACACCGCCCGU
rnacentral:rRNA from 1 species